rnacentral:rRNA from 1 species
UGCGUAGGCGGUCUUGUCAGUCAAUGGUGAAAUCUAGCAGCUUAACUGCUAACGUGCCAUCGAUACUGCAAGACUUGAGUAUAGUCGAGGUGAAUGGAAUUCUACAUGUAGCGGUGAAAUGCAUAGAUAUGUAGAGGAACACCGAUAGCGAAGGCAGUUCACUAGGCUAUUACUGACGCUGAGGUACGAAAGCGUGGGGAGCAAACAGGAUUAGAUACCCUGGUAGUCC